rnacentral:rRNA from 1 species
AUUGAACGCUGGCGGCAUGCCUUACACAUGCAAGUCGAACGGUAACAGGUCUUUCGGGAUGCUGACGAGUGGCGAACGGGUGAGUAAUACAUCGGAACGUGCCUAGUAGUGGGGGAUAACUACUCGAAAGAGUGGCUAAUACCGCAUGAGAUCUAUGGAUGAAAGCAGGGGACCUUUGGGCCUUGUGCUACUAGAGCGGCCGAUGGCAGAUUAGGUAGUUGGUGGGAUAAAAGCUUACCAAGCCUACGAUCUGUAGCUGGUCUGAGAGGACGAUCAGCCACACUGGGACUGAGACACGGCCCAGACUCCUACGGGAGGCAGCAGUGGGGAAUUUUGGACAAAGGGCGCAAGCCUGAUCCAGCAAUGCCGCGUGCAGGAUGAAGGCCUUCGGGUUGUAAACUGCUUUUGUACGGAACGAAAAGUCUUUGGUUAAUACCCUGGGAUCAUGACGGUACCGUAAGAAUAAGCACCGGCUAACUACGUG